rnacentral:rRNA from 1 species
UAUUGCACAAUGGGCGCAUGCCUGAUGCAGCCAUGCCGCGUGUAUGAAGAAGGCCUUCGGGUUGUAAAGUACUUUCAGUUGCCAGGAAGGGUGUGUAGUUAAUAGCUGCACAUCUUGACGUUAGCAACAGAAGAAGCACCGGCUAACUCCGUGCCAGCAGCCGCGGUAAUACGGAGGGUGCGAGCGUUAAUCGGAAUUACUGGGCGUAAAGCGCAUGCAGGUGGUUCAUUAAGUCAGAUGUGAAAGCCCGGGGCUCAACCUCGGAACUGCAUUUGAAACUGGUGAACUAGAGUACUGUAGAGGGGGGUAGAAUUUCAGGUGUAGCGGUGAAAUGCGUAGAGAUCUGAAGGAAUACCAGUGGCGAAGGCGGCCCCCUGACAGAUACUGACGCCAGAUGCGAAA